UAGUGGUAUGACUAUAUGAUGUGUGGAACUGUUGAAGCCAUCUUGUCACUAUGAGGUCACAACUUCAAGGAUGAGAGGCCCACACACUGUGGAUGCCCAAAUAGAAGGAUGAGAAAAGCCUGGGUUUUUGAUGGCAUUGCUGAGCUUCAGAACAAACCCUAGGCUCACCUAUCUCCAGCCUCUCAUCAAGGAAAACAACAAUUGUCUUUAUGGUUCAAAUCACUGGGCAAAGCAGUGGAGACCACCUGAGUGGGGGAACUGCAUUUAUUCAUAUACACAUUUUACAAACCUUUCUUGAGGAUGACUGAAAUUCUAAAUCACUUAGCUAAGAACCAUAAGGGGAGACAAAUUACCUUAUGCUCAUACGUGUCAUAUACGGAGCUUCCAUUGAGGAGGAGCAGGCGGGAAUUGAAACAGGAAAAAUUUCCACUUAUAGCAACACAUGCCCUAGGAGAUAUCACAAUUAAAUAUUGUGUUUCAUCAUAACUGAUUCUAAGCAGCUGAAGUGGACCCAAACGCCAAACCCCCACUGGACUCAACUAAAGACUCUUUCCUCAACAAUGAACGAUGGAUUUGUUUGAACCAACCAGGUACAGACCUUUAGAUUAAUUUCUGGAGUGCUGGUUUUCGAGCCUUAAUCAUUGUGAGCCCCUCUCCAAGAUUAAACAUCCCCGACUCUCCCUCCUCGGCUGACUAUUCAGUGAAUUUCUUCACUUGUGCGUGUUUCCUCGCCUGGCGAGUCAAUAAACGUGGCUUUGUGGCUUUUAUUUAUUUUA